AAACUGAUGUUUUUCUUUUUGUGUUUUUUUGGUGAGUUGCUAUAAGGUGAAGCCAGGGCAACCCCUCAUCAACUUAGAGGAAGUGCUACCAGAAGAAUAAGCAAAGGCAACCUUACUGAAAAUGUCAGUUUGCUGCUAAUAUUUGGAGGUGUACCUCUAUGAUCCCCACAACCUCUCAUCAGAAUUUUGAUGGUAUCAAGUGGCUGGAUACACUCCCUCUUUUAAAGGAGAUGGAUGGCCUGAAUAGUCUUUUAAAAGCUCUCCUUCUUUGCUGGCAAGUCUGGGAGGCUCGGAACAACUGUGUUUUUAAAGGCAUUGACCCUUACCCGGUGAAAGCCCUCAAUGUUGCUGAUCAUGUUGGUCUAGAUUAUUAGAGAAUUAAUUUCAUCCCCCUCCAGAAGCACAGGGGUGAGCCUACUAUCAAAUGGAAAAAACCUCCCCAUGACUGGAUAAAAGUGAAUUUUGAUGGCUCGGUGCGCGACAACAUGGCUGCUGCUAGUUUUGUUAUCCGGGACUGGAAUGCUCAUGUUAUGCUUGCGGGAGCUAAGAACUUGGGGCAUGUCUCAAUCAAUGUGGCUGAAUGUUUGGCUCUGCGGGAUGGCUUGGCCCAUGCUAUCAACAAUGGCUGGAGUAAAGUUUUAAUUGAAGGUGAUUCCAAGCUCGUCAUUGACUGUAUCAAUAACAAAGUAUUGGUCCCUUGGAGCAUUCGUCUCUUGAUUCAAGACAUAAGGCUGCUCAGCUCCUAUUGUGAAGAAAUUUAUUUCCACCAUGUCUUUCGGGAAGCAAACUUUACUGUUGAUGCUUUAGCUAAUUUAGGCCAUAAGUUGAACCCUUCCCACCUCUAGGAGCAGGGGCUUCCUCCGAAUUGUUUUGUUCUGUUUUAUUUUGAUU